rnacentral:rRNA from 1 species
CCUACGGGAGGCAGCAGUGAGGAAUAUUGGUCAAUGGGCGCGAGCCUGAACCAGCCAAGUCGCGUGAGGGAAGACGGCCCUAUGGAUUGUAAACUUCUUUUGUCGGGGAGUAAACGACGCCACGCGUGCCUUUCCGAGCGUACCCUAAGAAUAAGCAUCGGCUAACUCCGUGCCAGCAGCCGCGGUAAUACGGAGGAUCCGAGCGUUAUCCGGAUUUACUGGGUGUAAAGGGAGCGUAGACGGCAUUACAAGUCGGAUGUGAAAUACCCGGGCUCAACCUGGGAACUGCUUUGGAAACUGUAUGGCUGGAGUGCAGGAGAGGUAGGCGGAAUUCCUAGUGUAGCGGUGAAAUGCGUAGAUAUCACGAAGAACUCCGAUUGCGAAGGCAGCUUACUAAACUGCCACUGACAUUGAUGCUCGAAAGUGUGGGUAUCAAACAGGAUUAGAUACCCGGGUAGUC